GGCGCCACACAUGUAAAGUGCAGCACCUAGCCCUCGGGCGCUGCACUAUGACUUACAUCCAGCCGCGGCGGCCCUCUCCUCCCCCGCCCACCCCUUUGCCACCAGUUACAGAACGAGAAGAAGCCGUGGCGGCGGUCCUCUCCUCUCCCCCUCUCAAUCCCCUCUCCUAAAUCCAUCAGAUCGGACGAUUUGGUCCGUGGAUUCCUUCACCAAUCCAUCCUAGAAGAUUGUUAGGGUGGUUUGGCUUCUCGAUGAUCACUGGGACAAACAACACUGGUCGUACGCUAUGUCGGUGCAGCAGCGGGUAAUAAUGAAAGUGGAGCUUGCACCUCUGAAGCUUCGGUCUCACGGGGUCACCCUUGGGUGGAUGCUCUGUGAUGAGUGGUACACACCAUAUGUAAGGGAGACGGGACUUCUCCCUUUCAUUCAGUUGGUCAGCCGGUCGACGCCACCCAACAAUGCUGUAGCACUCACCAUGCUUAUUGAUCAUUGGAGGCCAGAGACACACAGUUUCCAUCUUCGGACCGGGGAGAUGACCAUGACGCUCCAGGAUAUAGCUAUGAUCACCGGUCUUCCUAUCGAUGGGAAUCCUCUAUGUAUGAACACCAAUUCUGAUGGGUGGCGCGCGCAGAUGCAAGCCCUUAUCGUUAUGGUUCCUCCAGAGCCUCGGGAACCAGAAGCAGAAGACAAGAAGAAGGAAAGAGUCGUAGCCGGCGCUCCUUUCACGUGGACUACAAUGCACUUUGGUACUUGCCCUGAGGAAUCUAAUGAGGACACGGUCAAGACAUAUGCUCGUGUCUACAUGUGGUACGUGAUAUCCAGGACUAUAUUUGCUGAUGGCAUAGGCAAGAAUGCUCCAUGGAUGUGGCUGAAGGCAUUGACCGUCUUCGAUAGCAAAUGGAGUUGGGGUUCGGCGACACUGGCUUACUUGUAUAGACAGCUGGACGAAGCCUGUUGUAGGCCAUCUGAAGGUAUUGGUGGUUGUAUGCUCGCACUUUCCAUAUGGAGCUAGGAGCGUUUGCCGGUUGGACGACCGAAGACCGUGAAGUACGAGGAUUGGGACAACAGAAAUGACCCACUACGGCUCCCCACUUGGGCUUACAAGUGGGAUGUGUUAAAUGAGACGACGGAUGAUCCGUCGGUCAUGUACAAGUUGUACAAGAGCGAGCUGGACGCGAUCACGCCUGAGCAGGUGGAAUGGGAGCCGUAUGGAAAAGGAGAGAGUUUUGGUAACCCUGUAGAGUUCAGGUUGAAUCCGAUGUGCACUAGGGAUAGGGAUCUCUGGCAUAUGUGGUGCCCACUCAUAUGCAACUGGGCGGUUGAGCUUCACCUGCCACAUCGGGUGUUCCGCCAGUUUGGUUUGUUCCAGCCACACCCGCCGGAGUGGGAGGACACCGACAAGUUGCUACACGCGUUGGAUAGGAAAAAGCAGCGGAAGAUCAAGGAUUGGGCCAAGCAUCACAGGAAGUAUGUCGUACAGUUCGCGCUUAGUGUGGAGCAAGCUAGGGCUGGAAAACGAGCCCAACUUCGUGAGCACUGCCCGAUCGCGUUCAACAACUAUCUCAUAUGGUUUCUUGCAAGUACCCGUGUGGAGGUAUGCAAGCCGGCGUAUGCUGAGGAGAUUUUGGAAGAUCCCACCGUUUUUGAUGAGCUAGCCCAGCACCAAUAGUCAGGAAAGGCAACUCGGUGAUUCCUUCAGCUCCAAUGAUGAACUUUGUGCGUGCCCAGAUCAAGAAAGCAACUGAUGAGACCGAGACUAUUCUGGAAACAACCCGGCUGGCAAAAGCGACGGGGAAGGUGCACUUAGAGCAUUCAUUAAGCGCCAGGGCCAAAAGUUAAGGCGGCUAUCAAACCUUUUAGGUUGUCGUGACCCCGAAUAUGUAUCACCAGAAUGGUCUAGGUCAGCGACACCAUCAGGUCCCACUUCGGGCCAGGGCCAUGGUGAUCCUUUGGAGGAUGAGGAUGUGGGUGUGAUCACCCAAGAGGUUAUUGAUGAUAUGACCUUGGGGACAUACCAGGUUCGGUCUGCAUACCAGUUAAAGCCUAGGAAGGAAUCAACAAAUACACACCUGAAGACUUCACCCAAAGAGGCAAAAGGAUGGUCGGCACCUCGCGGAUGGCGGCUUUGGAUGACUAUUUGGAUGACAAUGUGGAUGACAUGGAGGAACCGGAGCCGGAGCCGGAGCGGGUUCCUCUUCCUAGGAAGGUGAAGAAGAUCUCCGUCAAGAGGGGGGAGGAGCCAAAAAGUGCUCAAGGAACUAGUCAUCAUCCUCUAUUUGUAAUGUUGAACUUGGAGUGGUGGUAGCUCUUAGUAAUGUGAAACUUAUUAUGUCGUUGAACUUGGAGUGGUGGUAGCUCUAUGUUAAAUUUGAAGUUGUGGCAUCUCUUAGUAAUGUGGAACUUGUUAUGUCGUUGAACUUGGA